AACACUUCUCUUUUUCUCUAACAGAAAACGUCGGUAUAAGAAAAGAAACUCGCAACUUCUUCUCUGACGCUUCCAUCUCCGAUCUCCGACAGCUCCUUCUGCGUCACCAUCUUCGAAGAUCAUUGACGUCUUCAAUUCCGAAUAUCCCAGCCUCAUCUCGUUUUCCUGUUUGUUGUCAUGGACGAAUCCUAACUCCACACCACUGUUUAAGUCACCACCACCUUAAUCAUGUUUGUUGUUCUUUGUUUUUUUUUUUUUUAAAUAAAAUUGUUGUUCUUUGUUGUUAACAGUAUUUGAUUGAUUGCAAUUUUAAUUUAUAAAACCCUAUUUUCCCAAAUCCCCUUUUCUUCUGAAGUUGAACUUAAAAAAACUUUAUAUGCAGGUAAAAUCGACUAAAUAUUGAAUUCAUAGAUUAGCAAUACGAUAUUGUUUUUCUUAAUUGAAAACUUUGUACUCGCUGUAGCCGACUGCAUUGGUUGUUUAUCUCAGGAUAGCCUCAUCUUCUGCCAUCAGAAUAACAAAGCAUUAGAAGUUACUAUGGACGCUAAGGUGGAUGCUAGAAUGGGUGUACAUGAUUCUGACUUACGGCAGAAGAUUGCUAGACUACAUGAAGAAAUAAAUCUUCUUAGAAACGAAGGCUGAUGUGAACAUUGCUCCUGAUGUGGCCAACUCCAAAGCGAAUGAGGAUAGUGGUUCUUUUAGCAAUGACUUGUCAUGGAUGGUUCAGAAAUCAGUUCACAAGAUGGAUUGCCAAGACAGUGUGUUGUGAAGAAAGAGAAAAAAAAAGCUAAGAAGCUGAUGGAGAAGGAGGAUUUUGGGUGUAAUUUUGAUGGUUUGAAUGAUCAGAUUAUAUCACCAUUGCGACUGAAGUUGGCGGCUGAUAUUUAUGAGGUGGUAACUCAGACAGCUGAAUAAAUUGGUGUUCUAUUUUGGUUGUUUGGCUACUGGAUAACGGAUGUAAAAAUCGCUAGUUUUUGGCUUUAGACGAAUGUAUAACUUUUCUGGUUUUUAGCUUAAGUCGGAUAUAUUAAUUUCUAAUUUUUGUCUUCUGAAUUAUGGAUGUAUAAAUUACUAGCUUUGGUUUAUGAUUGAUGCAUGUAUAGUUAUUCAGGUUUUACAAAUGUUUUAGAUUGGAUU